rnacentral:rRNA from 1 species
GACCAGACUCCUACGGGAGGCAGCAGUGGGGGAUAUUGCACAAUGGGGGGAACCCUGAUGCAGCGACGCCGCGUGGGUGAAGGAGCGUUUCGGUGCGUAAAGCCCUAUCGGCAGGGAAGAAGGAGGACGGUACCUGACUAAGAAGCCCCGGCUAACUACGUGCCAGCAGCCGCGGGAAUACGUAGGGGGCGAGCGUUAUCCGGGUUCACUGGGUGUAAAGGGAGCGUAGGCGGCCAAGCAAGCCAGGGGUGGAAGCCCGGGGCCCAACCCCGGGACUGCCCUUGGAACUGCUUGGCUGGAGUGCGGGAGGGGCAGGCGGAAUUCCUGGUGUAGCGGUGAAAUGCGUAGAUAUCAGGAGGAACGCCGGCGGCGAAGGCGGCCUGCUGGACCGCGACUGGCGUUGAGGCUCGAAAGCGUGGGGAGCGAACAGGAUUAGAUGCCCCAGUAA